CCACUACCAUAAAUUAUGCAGCUGAGUUUCUCCCACAUUUGAGGAAAUUACGGGGCCAGCACAUUCAGAGUGCAAUGAAUGAGCCUCACCCUGGAAAAACCACCGUCAUGAACAUGGUAUCUCCCCUGCCUGAGAUAACUUUCCCUCUAGAGAUUAUAAUAAGGUUGAGAAAACGAGACACGGAGAGAAAGGAAGUCUCCCCACACACCAUGAAAGGCAAGAGUCUCCAGAGUCUUAGUCCAAGCAGGAGACAAGCCCACGAACCGAAGUAUUUCCACAGAGUGCCGCAAGUCCAAGCAGAGAGCUGUGAGAACAGGGAGUAAGAGGCUCGGCAGCUAGGAAGUCGGGGGGCGCUUCUGGAGGAGAUGGACAAGGACGACCCUGCUAAAUUGAAGGAGCUGGGAAGGGCAAGGAGGACUAAGACCAUGGAAGGAAU